UACGUAGGGCGCAAGCGUUGUCCGGAAUUAUUGGGCGUAAAGAGCUCGUAGGCGGUUUGUCGCGUCGGAUGUGAAAGCCCGGGGCUUAACUCCGGGUCUGCAUUCGAUACGGGCAGACUAGAGUGUGGUAGGGGAGAUCGGAAUUCCUGGUGUAGCGGUGAAAUGCGCAGAUAUCAGGAGGAACACCGGUGGCGAAGGCGGUUCUCUGGGCAUGAUCUGACGCUGAGGAGCGAAAGUGUGGGGAGCGAACAGG
rnacentral:rRNA from 1 species